GACGAACGCUGGCGGCGUGCUUAACACAUGCAAGUCGAACGGAAAGGCCCUGCUCUUGUGGGGUGCUCGAGUGGCGAACGGGUGAGUAACACGUGAGUAACCUGCCCUUGACUUUGGGAUAACUUCAGGAAACUGGGGCUAAUACCGGAUAGGAGCUCCUGCUGCAUGGUGGGGGUUGGAAAGUUUCGGCGGUUGGGGAUGGACUCGCGGCUUAUCAGCUUGUUGGUGGGGUAGUGGCUUACCAAGGCUUUGACGGGUAGCCGGCCUGAGAGGGUGACCGGCCACAUUGGGACUGAGAUACGGCCCAGACUCCUACGGGAGGCAGCAGUGGGGAAUAUUGCACAAUGGGCGGAAGCCUGAUGCAGCAACGCCGCGUGCGGGAUGACGGCCUUCGGGUUGUAAACCGCUUUCGCCUGUGACGAAGCGUGAGUGACGGUAAUGAGUAAAGAAGCACCGGCUAACUACGUG
rnacentral:rRNA from 1 species